rnacentral:rRNA from 1 species
ACCUGGAGAUAGCUGGUUCUCUCCGAAAUAGCUUUAGGGCUAGCCUCAAGUGAUGAUUAUUGGU